GACGAACGCUGGCGGCGUGCUUAACACAUGCAAGUCGAACGGAAAGGCCCUGCUUUUGUGGGGUGCUCGAGUGGCGAACGGGUGAGUAACACGUGAGUAACCUGCCCUUGGCUUUGGGAUAACUUCAGGAAACUGGGGCUAAUACCGGAUAGGAGCUCCUGCUGCAUGGUGGGGGUUGGAAAGUUUCGGCGGUUGGGGAUGGACUCGCGGCUUAUCAGCUUGUUGGUGGGGUAGUGGCUUACCAAGGCUUUGACGGGUAGCCGGCCUGAGAGGGUGACCGGCCACAUUGGGACUGAGAUACGGCCCAGACUCCUACGGGAGGCAGCAGUGGGGAAUAUUGCACAAUGGGCGGAAGCCUGAUGCAGCAACGCCGCGUGCGGGAUGACGGCCUUCGGGUUGUAAACCGCUUUCGCCUGUGACGAAGCGUGAGUGACGGUAAUGGGUAAAGAAGCACCUGCUAACUACGUG
rnacentral:rRNA from 1 species